CACGACUUUGCUAUUAAUUGAGAAGAGAUCGACGAAUUUUACUGAACGGUUCUGGGUCUGGGUGCAGCCGCAGCGUGCUGCCUUUUGUUUUCAUAGGAUGCAGUGGACGCUGGCUAUAGACAACUCCCUGCACCCCCUAUUUCUUUGUAUCGCAAGAAGCAGCAGAAGAGCUGUCAAAGAAAAUUUAUGACCCUAAUUGUUUGGAGAUGCGAGCGAGAAAGCCAGCGCCGCUCUUCUUCAGUCGCCUGCGUAUUUCAAAACGAGUGAGACGUGUGUGAUAGUCAGUGUUAACGUCGGAAAUUUAAAAAUUCAGAAAUUGACCGGAGCUGGGACCUGUUGUCUUCAUGUUGUCAAGCAGUUGGCCGAAGAAGUUGAGAAUAGGCGGGAAACCGAAUUUGGUCGGCCGCUCCACAAAAGACGACCACAGCGCACCCCUCACUCGCACCACCCUGACAUCGUCGAAUACUUGAACUACGUCAAGAGAGAAAUGAGCUGCAAGUUGUAUAUGUGUUAAGGUAGCGGCGGAUUGAAGUCACAUCAAUCGAUCUGUGACCAAGAGAACACAGAAGAAGUUGAAAAAAGGUAUGUGAUGAUAUCACGGAUCUGAAGGAAGCUCUUGCAGUUAUGAUGGACACGUACUACGCUGUCAACGUUGAGUUUCCCAACCGAAUGAAGAAAACUUUAGAACUUCUUGUGUUUCUAUGUGGCGUAGAAAAUCUCACACAUCACCAGAUCAACGAAAAACUCAUCAACAUUGUGCAGAAGAAUGUGAUCAACGUUAAUUCCUAACAAGUUUGUUGUCCAGUGCAAUAAAAAUUGAAUUUAUGUA